rnacentral:rRNA from 1 species
UACGUAGGGUGCAAGCGUUAUCCGGAAUUAUUGGGCGUAAAGAGCUCGUAGGCGGUCUGUCGCGUCUGCUGUGAAAUCUGGGGGCUCAACCCCCAGCCUGCAGUGGGUACGGGCAGACUAGAGUGCGGUAGGGGAGAUUGGAACUCCUGGUGUAGCGGUGGAAUGCGCAGAUAUCAGGAAGAACACCGAUGGCGAAGGCAGAUCUCUGGGCCGUAACUGACGCUGAGGAGCGAAAGCAUGGGGAGCGAACAGG